rnacentral:rRNA from 1 species
GUUUGGUUAAGUUAGAAAGGGCGCACGGUGGAUGCCUUGACACUAGGAGUCGAUGAAGGACGGGACUAACGCCGAUAUGCUUCGGGGAGCUGUAAGUAAGCUUUGAUCCGAAGAUUUCCGAAUGGGGAAACCCACCAUACGUAAUGGUAUGGUAUCCUUAUCUGAAUACAUAGGGUAAGGAAGACAGACCCAGGGAACUGAAACAUCUAAGUACCUGGAGGAAGAGAAAGCAAAUGCGAUUUCCUGAGUAGCGGCGAGCGAAACGGAACAUAGCCCAAACCAAGAGGCUUGCCUCUUGGGGUUGUAGGACAUUCUAUACGGAGUUACAAAGGAACGAGGUAGACGAAG